rnacentral:rRNA from 1 species
UUUGAUCAUGGCUCAGAUUGAACGCUGGCGGGAUGCUUUAUACAUGCAAGUCGAACGGCAGCACGGACUUCGGUCUGGUGGCGAGUGGCGAACGGGUGAGUAAUGUAUCGGAACGUGCCUAGUAGCGGGGGAUAACUACGCGAAAAAGCGUAGCUAAUACCGCAUACGCCCUUCGGGGGAAAGCGGGGACCUUCGGGCCUCGCACUAUUAGAGCGGCUGAUAUCGGAUUAGCUAGUUGGUGGGGUAACGGCUCACUAAGGCGACGAUCCGUAGCUGGUUUGAGAGGACGACCAGCCACACUGGGACUGGAGACACGGCCCAGACUCCUACGGAGGCAGCAGUGGGGAAUUUUGGACAAUGGGGAAACCUGAUCCAGCCAUCCCGCGUGUGCGAUGAAGGCCUUCGGGUUGUAAAGCACUUUUACAGGAAGAAACGGCACGGGAUAAUACCCCGUGCAACUGACGGCAUCUGCAGAAUAAGCACCGGCUAACUACGUGCCAGCAGCCGCGGUAAUACGUAGGGUGCAAGCGUUAAUCGGAAUUACUGGGCGGAAGCGUGCGCAGGCGGUUCGGAAAGAAAGAUGUGAAAUCCCAGAGCUUAACUUUGGAACUGCAUUUUUAACUACCGAGCUAGAGUGUGUCAGGGAGGGAGGAAUUCCAUGCAGUAGUGAAAUGCGUAGAUAUGGAGGAACACCGAUGGCGAAGGCAGCCUCCUGGGAUAACACUGACGCUCAUGCACGAAAGCGUGGGGAGCAAACAGGAUUAGAUACCCUGGUAGUCCACGCCCUAAACGAUGUCAACUAGCUGUUGGGGCCUUCGGGCCUGGUAGCGCAGCUAACGCGUGAAGUUGACCGCCUGGGGAGUACGGUCGCAAGAUUAAAACUCAAAGGAAUUGACGGGGACCCGCACAAGCGGUGGAUGAUGUGGAUUAAUUCGAUGCAACGCGAAAACCUUACCUACCCUUGACAUGUCUGGAAUCCCGAAGAGAUUUGGGGAGUGCUCGCAAGAGAACCGAACACAGUGCUGCAUGGCUGUCGUCAGCUCGUGUCGUGAGAUGUUGGGUUAAGUCCCGCAAACGAGCGCAACCUUGUCAUUAGUUGCUACGAAAGGGCACUCUAAUGAGACUGCCGGUGACAAACCGGAGAAGGUGAUGACGUCAAGUCCUCAUGGCCCUUAUGGGUAGGGCUUCACACGUCAUACAAUGGUCGGGACAGAGGGUCGCCAACCCGCGAGGGGAGCCAAUCCCAGAAACCCGAUCGUAGUCCGGAUCGCAGUCUGCAACUCGACUGCGGAAGUCGGAAUCGCUAGUAAUCGCGGAUCAGCAUGUCGCGGUGAAUACGUUCCCGGGUCUUGUACACCCACCGCCCGUCACACCAUGGAGUGGGUUUUACCAGAAGUAGUUAGCCUAACCGUAAGGAGGGCGAUUACCAUGGUAGGAUUCAUGACUGGGGUGAAGUCGUAACAAGUAG